rnacentral:rRNA from 1 species
CGGGGAAUAUUGCGCAAUGGGCGAAAGCCUGACGCAGCAACGCCGCGUGAGGGAUGAAGGCUUUCGGGUUGUAAACCUCUUUCAGCAGGGACGAUUGUGACGGUACCUGCAGAAGAAGCCCCGGCCAACUACGUGCCAGCAGCCGCGGUAACACGUAGGGGGCGAGCGUUGUCCGGAUUUAUUGGGCGUAAAGAGCUCGUAGGUGGUUCGGUAAGUCGGGUGUGAAAACUCUGGGCUCAACUCAGAGACGCCACCCGAUACUGCUGUGACUGGAGUCUGGUAGGGGAGUGUGGAAUUCCCGGUGUAGCGGUGAAAUGCGCAGAUAUCGGGAGGAACACCAGUGGCGAAGGCGGCACUCUGGGCCAGUACUGACACUGAGGAGCGAAAGCGUGGGUAGCGGACAGGAUUAGAUACCCUGGUAGUCCACGCCGUAAACGUUGGGCACUAGGUGUGGGUCUCAACCAACGGGAUCCGUGCCGUAGCUAACGCACUAAGUGCCCCGCCUGGGGAGUACGGCCGCAAGGCUAA